rnacentral:rRNA from 1 species
UUUGCCGGAUUAGCUGAGAGGUGGUGCAUGGCCGUCGUCAGUUCGUACUGUGAAGCAUCCUGUUAAGUCAGGCAACGAGCGAGACCCACGCCCACAGUUGCCAGCGUACUCUCUGGAGUGACGGGUACACUGUGGGGACCGCCGCUGCUAAAGCGGAGGAAGGAAUGGGCAACGGUAGGUCAGUAUGCCCCGAAUAUCCCGGGCUACACGCGAGCUACAAUGGUUGGUACAAUGGGUAUCUACCCCGAAAGGGGACGGGAAUCUCCUAAAACCAAUCUUAGUUCGGAUUGAGGGCUGCAACUCGCCCUCAUGAAGCUGGAAUCCGUAGUAAUCGCGUUUCAACAGAACGCGGUGAAUACGUCCCUGCUCCUU